rnacentral:sRNA from 1 species
AUUGAAUACAUGUUUUAAAUGAUAAUCUCAUUUUGCCACACAUAGUUCAGUCUCUUAUUUGCGCAUUAUGUAUUGGCUUUAUUAUCUUACAAAGUAGCUAUCCAUUUGGGCGACAUACAAAUGUCUGUGAAGGUCUGAGUCUUAUUUUUUAAAGUGCUGAUUAUUUUCUGAAGUACUUUUACGGUUAAAGCUAAUGGAGUUUAAAUAUAACAUCACGUUGUGUAUAUGAAUCUUUUGGGUGCCCUGAACAAUGUCUUUAUUUCAUUAACUGAAGUGAAAGUAUUCAAAACCAAAUUUAGAAAUGACAGUAUACCAGUUGUUAUUGGAUGCCUUUUUAUAUAAAGGAAUUUCCUAAUUUACUUGUUCUACUUUUACUUUCUUUUCCAGAUUUUUUUGUUUUUUCUGUGAUUUUUUUAUAUAUUUUUAUAUUAUUCAUCAUGUUGUAUCCAGUUGCCUCUGUUGACCAGGUUCUUCAGAUAGUGUGUGUACCAUAUCAGUGGCG